ACGGGAGGCAGCAGUGGGGAAUAUUGGGCAAUGGGCGCAAGCCUGACCCAGCAAUACCGCGUGAAGGAAGAAGGCUUUCGGGUUGUAAACUUCUUUUAUUUAGGACGAUAAUGACGGUACUAAAUGAAUAAGCUCCGGCUAACUACGUGCCAGCAGCCGCGGUAAUACGUAGGGAGCAAGCGUUAUCCGGAUUUACUGGGUGUAAAGGGCGUGUAGGCGGGACUGCAAGUCAGAUGUGAAAACUAUGGGCUCAACCCAUAGCCUGCAUUUGAAACUGUAGUUCUUGAGUGCUGGAGAGGCUAACGGAACUCCUAGUGUAGCGGUGAAAUGCGUAGAUAUUAGGAAGAACACCAGUGGCGAAGGCGGUUAGCUAGACAGUAACUGACGCUGAGGCGCGAAAGCGUGGGUAGCAAACAGGAUUAGAUACCCUGGUA
rnacentral:rRNA from 2 species